CAGAAAAAUUUCUUGGCCAGGAUUCACUCAAAGACAAGAUGUCAACAAGAAGACACCAUCCUGGGAGGUGUGUGUACUGCUGCAAAGCCCCAGAGCCCGUGAGCGAACGAAACCGUCCAACCUCUGUGAGCUGAGGUCAAUAGUUCACAUCCCAUCACACAGGAGAAACCCCUCAACAUCUGCUUCUGUUGCCAUGGCAACUGCCUG